rnacentral:SRP_RNA from 1 species
UCAUACUAGCUGGGGAGUCAGCGGUGCCCUGUAACCUGCAAUCCGCUAUAGCAGGAGUGAAUUCCUUGCUGAGGCUACAUACUGUGUGGUCUGGCCUAUAUAAGUGGCGUUGAGAAUUGGGUCCCACGCAACAGAGAUUUGUGAACCUCGUCAGAUCCGGAAGGAAGCAGCGAUAAGCAAACCCCUCUGUGUGCCGUGGAGCAGCCUGGUUUGAGUUAACUGUAUAGGUAACGCGCAUAGUAUCUAGUCGAAGCAAGGUGUGUGA